AACGAACGCUGGCGGCAGGCCUAACACAUGCAAGUCGAGCGAGACCUUCGGGUCUAGCGGCGGACGGGUUAGUAACGCGUGGGAACGUGCCCUUCUCUGCGGAAUAGCCACUGGAAACGGUGAGUAAUACCGCAUACGCCCUUCGGGGGAAAGAUUUAUCGGAGAAGGAUCGGCCCGCGUUAGAUUAGAUAGUUGGUGGGUAACGGCCUACCAAGUCUACGAUCUAUAGCUGGUUUUAGAGGAUGAUCAGCAACACUGGGACUGAGACACGGCCCAGACUCCUACGGGAGGCAGCAGUGGGGAAUCUUAGACAAUGGGCGCAAGCCUGAUCUAGCCGUGCCGCGUGUGUGAUGAAGGUCUUAGGAUCGUAAAGCACUUUCGCCAGGGAUGAUAAUGACAGUACCUGGUAAAGAAACCCCGGCUAACUCCGUG
rnacentral:rRNA from 1 species